rnacentral:rRNA from 1 species
GACGAACGCUGGAGGCGUGCUUAACACAUGCAAGUCGAACGAUGAAAUGGAGCUUGCUCCAUGGAUUAGUGGCGAACGGGUGAGUAACACGUGAAUAACCUGCCCUUAAUUUUGGAAUAACCCAGGGAAACCUGGGCUAAUACCGGAUAAGUAAACCUGUGGCAUCACAUGGUUUUGGAAAGUUUUUCGAUUAAGGAUGGAUUCGCGGCCUAUCAGCUUGUUGGUGAGGUAAUGGCUCACCAAGGCGACGACGGGUAGCCGGCCUGAGAGGGUGAACGGCCCCACGGGGACGGAGCCACGGCCCAGACUCCUACGGGAGGCAGCAGUGGGGAAUAUUGCGCAAUGGACGAAAGUCUGACGCAGCGACGCCUCGUGAGGGACGAGGGUCUUCGGAUUGUAAACCUCUUUCAGCAGGGACGAAGCGAAAGUGACGGUACCUGCAGAAGAAGCACCGGCUAACUAUGUGCCAGCCGCCGCCGUAA